GAGGGUAUAGCUCAAGUGGUAGAGCAUAUGCUUAGCAUGCUCAAGGUCCUGGGUUCAAUCCCCAGUACCCCUU
rnacentral:tRNA from 1 species